rnacentral:rRNA from 1 species
CCUACGGGUGGGCAGCAGUGGGGGAUAUUGCACAAUGGGGUACACCCUGAUGCAGCGACGCCGCGGGGGUGAAGAAGCGCCUCGGCGCGUAAAGCCCUGUCAGCAGGGAGGAAAAUGACGGUACCUGAAGAAGAAGCCCCGGCUAACUACGGGCCAGCAGCCGCGGCAGUACGUAGGGGGCAAGCGUUAUCCGGAUAUACUGGGUGUAAAGGGGGAGCAGACGGCGAUGCAAGCCAGGAGUGAAAGCCCGGGGCCAAACCCCGGGACUGCUCUUUGAACUGCGUGGCUUGAGUGCAGGAGGGGCAGGCGGAAUUCCUGGUAUAGCGGUGAAAUGCGUAGAUAUCAGGAGGAACACCGGUGGCGAAGGCGGCCUGCUGGACUGCAACUGACGUUGAGGCCCGAAAGCGUGGGGAGCAAACAGGAUUAGAUACCCCAGUAGUC